CAGUAAGGAAUAUUGGUCAAUGGACGCAAGUCUGAACCAGCCAUGCCGCGUGAAGGAUUAAGGUCCUCUGGAUUGUAAACUUCUUUUAUCUGGGACGAAAAAAGGCGAUUCUUCGUCACUUGACGGUACCAGAUGAAUAAGCACCGGCUAACUCCGUGCCAGCAGCCGCGGUAAUACGGAGGGUGCAAGCGUUAUCCGGAUUCACUGGGUUUAAAGGGUGCGUAGGCGGGCAGGUAAGUCAGUGGUGAAAUCCUAGAGCUUAACUCUAGAACUGCCAUUGAUACUAUCUGUCUUGAAUAUUGUGGAGGUAAGCGGAAUAUGUCAUGUAGCGGUGAAAUGCUUAGAUAUGACAUAGAACACCUAUUGCGAAGGCAGCUUACUACGCAUAUAUUGACGCUGAGGCACGAAAGCGUGGGGAUCAAACAGGAUUAGAUACCC
rnacentral:rRNA from 1 species